rnacentral:rRNA from 1 species
GUUAUUCCUGAUUUGUGGGAUGUGGUAAACCUUAAAAUCACAUUUAGGAGAUGUGUAGAUAAUAGGUUGCUUCUCCUCUGAUUUGACCUGUUAAGCAUUGUUCAAUCUGUUGUCGUGUGUGAUGAUGAUGAUGCUUUAAUUUGAAAACUAGAGUCAAAUAGUAAAUACUCAGUUAGAUCUAUGUAUGCCAUGAUUAAUUUUAGGGGCAUUAGCCCAGUUCAUGUUUUUGAUAUAUGGAAAAUCCAUGUACCUCCCAACAUCCAUAUAUUUUUGUGGCUGCUGCCACAUAAUAAGUUGUUGGUUAGAGAGAAUCUUAUAAAAAGGCAACACUUAGAUAAUCUAUCUUGCUUGUUCUGCUCAGAAUGUGAAAAUAUCAACCACUUGUUUUUUGAGUGUGUUGUAGCUAGGGAGAUCUGGAAAAAUAUACAUUCCAUCAUAGGAUGCAUCCCCCUACCUGCCUUUGAUAAGGUGGCAGACAUGUGGGGAAAAGUUAAAAACUUGCAAGCCGAAAAUCUGACUAUAUCAGCUACUCUCUGGGCUAUCUGGAGAUGCAAGAAUGAUUUACGUUUUAAUAACACAAACUGGAUGGGUGUGCAGGUGGUUCUGAGAAGGAUUGCAGGCUUUUGCAACCUGUGGAAGAUCCUGUGCAAAGGAAGUGCAAGAGAGCGCGUGGAGGGGAUCAUUGUGGCUAUAUGGGAGGCUGCAAGAAGAACACCGCUGCUGCUUUGGCCAGAGCCAGGCUGA